CCUACGGGUGGCAGCAGUGGGGAAUAUUGCACAAUGGGCGCAAGCCUGAUGCAGCGACGCCGCGUGAGGGAUGACGGCCUUCGGGUUGUAAACCUCUGUUAGCAGGGAAGAAGAGAGAUUGACGGUACCUGCAGAGAAAGCGCCGGCUAACUACGUGCCAGCAGCCGCGGUAAUACGUAGGGCGCGAGCGUUGUCCGGAAUUAUUGGGCGUAAAGAGCUUGUAGGCGGUUUGUCGCGUCUGCUGUGAAAGGCCGGGGCUUAACCCCGUGUAUUGCAGUGGGUACGGGCAGACUAGAGUGCAGUAGGGGAGACUGGAAUUCCUGGUGUAGCGGUGGAAUGCGCAGAUAUCAGGAGGAACACCGAUGGCGAAGGCAGGUCUCUGGGCUGUAACUGACGCUGAGAAGCGAAAGCAUGGGGAGCGAACAGGAUUAGAUACCCCAGUAGUC
rnacentral:rRNA from 1 species